CCAUCUCCCCCUCCUCUCCAGCAGCUCGGCGGAGACAAAAGAGGAGGUCACCGGGAGAUGACGAAAGAUCAAAGGAGGAUGAUUUGCAAGGUCGAUCGACAUAUGCGACAAAGAUCCUGUUGUGCACAAGCAUACUCCAUACAUUGUUAUCCUCAU